ACGCACAGAGUAAUUUAUCUCGUGUGGAGGAGACUGUUGAGGAGGAAGGAAGUUCGGUAACGAGGAGGAUAAUCUUACUUCUACUGGAAGGAUAGAAAGUCAGGACUCGAUUAAGAUCCAAGUUCGAGGCCUGUGAUAUCAAGUGGACAAGCUGUAUCGUCAUAUACCAAGUUAUCUCACGUUUUCCAGUGUUCGUAAAAGUGUAACCAUGAAAAGGGAAGUCCGGACUGCAGCAGAAUUUUUAACAAAUCUUCUCCGACUGGGGAAGAUCCUGGACGCCAGUCAACUUCGUUUAUUUCACAGUCAAAUGGAGAAGUUUUUAACCGAACACUAUCAACAACAUUGGUUUCCGAAUAACGCUUUUAAAGGUUCAGGCUAUCGGUGUCUGCGGAUCAAUCACAAAAUGGACCCAGUGAUCGGUAAAGCGGGUAGGUCAUGUGGUCUUAGAGAAGGUAGUCUCAGAAAACUGUUCCCUCACGAGCUUACUAUGUGGGUUGACCCCGGUGAAGUGUCUUAUCGAAUUGGUGAGAACGGAAGUAUUUGUGUUUUGUAUGAUGGAAACAAACAGGAAUCUUUGUCGGACUCUGACGACACCUAUGAUGUAGAACACCAACAGAAAGUUUUGACAGACUCUGACGACAGCUGUGGGGUAGAAAGCUACCAUCAUGACAGCGGUGGUUACUUCGACAUGCCAAGUCAUCAUUCAUUUAUUGAAAAUAUCCCUCGGUUGUUGCGUGGAAGUUGUAAAGAAACUGUGUCUCGUGUAGGUAGAGUAGGGUGGGAAAGUUUUAUUAUGGAUCCUCGGUACUCAAACCUUGGACUCGAACAUUUAACAGCUUUUGUCUCCAGUUAAAUACAGGUCUACUUCAUCCGAAUCCAGUUAAAUCCUGGUCUACUUCAACUGAAUGUAGUCAGGAUUGAAUUAUAUUAUGUGAUGAUCUCUUAUUUGUAAAUGUAAAGCUAAGCCUAGUUCAAUAAGGUUUUGUGGUAAGCUCUCAGGAAAUGAAUGACAAAAUAACAAGUUUACAAACUGGCCUAGAGUAGAAAGUUUUGGAAUUAGGGACCAUUAACCGUACCAACCGUCGUAAAAUUAUCAAUUUCCAUAUUUAAACAGACUGUACUGAUAUUUGUGAUAACGGCCCAGGAACUAAUUAUUGUCAGGAUGGUUCAUUAUAAUGUGAUUCAACAGGUGAUUUUAAUUUAAUUAAAAAACUAGCGUUUCUUAGAUCAACGAAUCCUUGAAGAUUAUGCUUGCAAAUACAUGAAUUCCGACCCUUGUGGAGAAACAAACAUACUGAAUGUGAUUUUGUACUUACUAUACGUGGCUGCCUACAUAGCUGUAAAAACACUGCCUAUUUUCAGUAACUUCCGACAUCAGGAAAGCAAUUCGUUAAAAGGGCGUAGUUCAGAACUUGCUCAUGCAGCCUGUAUCAGUGAUACAACUUACAAGAUCUUAAUUAACUCGUUAAUAGAUCUCUUUAAGAUAUACCGUUGUUACUGGUCGCUUAAAGUGUACUAUAAGGACACCCAGACCAAGUUAUAGUGUGUUAGUUUAUAUUUUUUAGCAGAUGGAGUUUUAAAUAACCAGUAAGGAAAUUUCACUAACACUUACAAAAACAUUCAGAAGCUAGGCUUCCGCCUGAGAAGUACGUAGAUCAGUUGUAUGCCCGAGUGCUCCACCUAUUAUUAUUAAUUUACAUUUGAAAAUAUAUAAAAAGCAAUGCUUAGAAAGACAGUAACUUUUUCCUGUGUUAGGCAACAACUAUCAUAUUAUCAAGUUUUUAUCAUAUUAAUUAACUAGACCUGUUAUACAACACAAACAUUUUUUUUUUUAAUUUAGAAAUUCAAGUGAUUUUUUCCCUAAAAUUGUUGUUGUACUUAAGUUAUCAUUGGAAAGAAACAUAACGAAUUGUAGGCCUAAUAAGACCACAAAUCCCUUUCCUGUGGCUUGCCAAGUAUACUUACUUGAACGUUGAACCGGUAUUUUAUGUAAUCAAAUCGACUUUAUUCCUACCGAAUGUGAUGUAAAAUAAGCUGAGAAUGGAUAGAUUUAAGAUAACUGGGCCAAAACGUUUCGCCCAUCAUAAGGCAGUCUACUGUACAAAUGCUUUCUGUAAAAAUGUAACAUAAAAGUUAAAACUAUUUUGCAUGUACAGUAUAUAUAUAUACAUUCGUUGACAUAAGACGUUUUGUACAGCGACUUGUAUUAAAUAAAAAAUUAUUUGUGAGUUGUACCAGCA